GAAAAAUUCCAUUAAGUUGGUAUUACUAAUUUUCUAUCCAUGUAAUUUCUGUUCAUGUGUUAUUUAUCUCUUUUUAUUUUGUUAAUUCCUUCUCCUACCUUCCAGAACAUGACACCUCAACUUUGAAUUUUGCCAUCUUCCAUAACUAACAUUCACCCCAAAAAUAACAAAAGAUCACACCCGGAUCACAUAAAAAAGGCAUAACAAAAAGGGGAUCCACUCCUUCUUCUUCACUCAAUUUUUCCACAAAUAGAACACACACACAACAACGCACAGCAUAAAAAUCAUCAUCAUCUUCAUCUCACAUACACACACAGAUCGAAAAAAACAAAACAAGAAAAGAGGACCCGUUUUCUUUUUUCAUCUUCAUCAUCAAAACACACACAUAAGAUAUAGGAGCCAGAGAGCAUAAAGAAAAAAAAAGGGAAGGGAUAUCUCUUUGUUCUCAACAUCAACACCCAUUUUUCCGUUAAUAAUACUUUCACCAUUCCCGUUUUCCGGUCACUACCUUCAUCUUCUCUUCCGAUCACCACCCCUCUAUUUUUCUGGUUCCCAACCAAUAACCACCACCACAACACCACCUCUAAACCACCACUGAAAACCACCGGAAAACCCCCAUAAACACCACCAUCCCAAAACAGCCCCUACACCCACUAAACCCCUGUGUUCUGUCAAUACACACCCGACCCGAACACUCCAAUAUCCCCUAUUUUGAUUUCUUUUCGGACUAAUACUGAACCCACCUCCUUCACAACUGAAAAUCAUUGAGUUUGAGGUGUUGGGUUUUAGAUCUGAAACGAAAAAAGGGUAACGGACUGCUGUUUUGAUCAGUUGAGGCCUCAGUUGAGAUUUUUGCUUCGCGUUUUCCAGUCAAGGUGUCGCAGUGUUUGUUCCGUUCUAUUGGAAGGUCUUCAUUGUUUAUAUGGCGAAAGUUGGAGAGUUAUGUGAAAAGUUUGCAAAAAGAAGUGAGAAGUGGCAAGUUAAAUGAGCAAGCAUUUUGACGGGAUAAGAGACGAGCUGCAGAAUAUUCCACAGACCAUAAAAGCCACUGUCAAGUAGUAACAGAGAGCAACACAACCAUGGGAAGCUCUGCGGAGCAAUUAUACGGACCGUAUAACAUUUGACGGUCCGUCAAAUAGGAAGCGCAGAAAGUUUGAAGAAAGCAGUUUGACGGCUGAAGAAGGAAUUUUGACGGACCGAAUAACUUUUUACGAUCCGCAUAAUAGUGCCGACGGGGAUAGUUUUGUCAUCUUAUUUCUCAUGACUUGGACCAUUAUAAAUACUCCUUGUAGGGUUAGUUUAGAUUAUUCUUGUUCAGAUUUCAGUACUAUUCUUCUAGCAUACAAUACUUUAUAGUUUUUGAAGCUUUCUGGAGAAGAAGACAAAACAAUUGCAAUUACUUUAUUCUAAUUCAAAUCAAUCAUAAGUAUUAUGACUUCUAUUA